rnacentral:tRNA from 1 species
GGUAGAAAGCUCAAGUUGUUAAAGCACAGGACUUGCAAUCCUGAGGCAUCAGAGGCCCCAGGUUCAACUUCUGGUACCACCA